GGUUAAGUCCCGCAACGAGCGCAACCCUCACUUUUAGUUGCCAUCAUUUAGUUGGGCACUCUGAAAGAACUGCCAGUGAUAAGCUGAGGAAGUGGGGAUGACGUCAAGUCCUCAUGGCCCUUACGUGUUGGGCUACACACGUGCUACAAUGGUAUCUACAACAGGAAGCGAAACAGCGAUGUUAAGCAAAUCCUUAAAAGAUACCUCAGUUCGGAUUGCACUCUGCAACUCGAGUGCAUGAAGCUGGAAUUACUAGUAAUCGUGGAUCAGCGUGCCACGGUGAAUGCGUUCCCGGGUCUU
rnacentral:rRNA from 1 species